AUUGUUAUCUUACAGUUCGUUUCUGUGUGUGUUGUAUUGUUAUCUUACAGUUCGUUUCUGUGUGUGUUGUAUUGUUAUCUUACAGUUCGUUUCUGUGUGUGUUGUAUUGUUAUCUUACACUUCGUUUCUGUGUUUUGUCUUUUUAUUUAUUUUUUUGCACUUAAGUGUUUCUCUUGUUCCUUUGUCAUUUCUUUUAUAGUUUUAGUUUG
rnacentral:lncRNA from 1 species